CAGAUAACCAUCUGUUCCUUCAUCAUGCUGUACUUCAGCUUUGGAGUCUACUUCAGAUGAAAUCACUCGCUUUCUGCUGAUGAUGGACCACAUGGACAGCCACAGGUUUCCCUUGAAGUUGCUGUACAUGGGUCAGUAUGGGAGUGUCAUUUUAACAGGUGGAAAUACUUUGCUACAAGUGUUCACUGAAAGACUCAAUAGGGAGCUAUCACAGAAAGCACCACCAUUAAGGAACAUUCCAGCAAUUGUGGAUUUCUAAACUGGACUAUGAAGAGGGCAAAAAAAAAGAAUGUGGAGAGAAAAUGUCCCUGAAACACAGAGCCAUAGAAAACAUCUAAAACUGAC